CAGCCGCCGCGGUAAUACGUAGGUGGCAAGCGUUGUCCGGAAUUAUUGGGCGUAAAGCGCGCGCAGGUGGUUUAAUAAGUCUGAUGUGAAAGCCCACGGCUCAACCGUGGAGGGUCAUUGGAAACUGUUAAACUUGAGUGCAGGAGAGAAAAGUGGAAUUCCUAGUGUAGCGGUGAAAUGCGUAGAGAUUAGGAGGAACACCAGUGGCGAAGGCGGCUUUUUGGCCUGUAACUGACACUGAGGCGCGAAAGCGUGGGGAGCAAACAGGAUUAGAUACCCGAGUAGUCCCUGUCUCUUAUAA
rnacentral:rRNA from 1 species